rnacentral:rRNA from 1 species
AUUGAACGCUGGCGGCAGGCCUAACACAUGCAAGUCGAACGAGUGGCGGACGGAUGAGUAAUGUCUGGGAAACUGCCCGAUGGAGGGGGAUAAAUACUGGAAACGGUAGCUAAUACCGCAUACCAGAGGAUGUGCCCAGAUGGGAUUAGCUAGUAGGUGGGGUAAAGGCUCACCUAGGCGACGAUCCCUAGCGGGUCUGAGAGGAUGACCAGCCACCAUGGAACUUAGACACGGUCCAGACUCCUACGGGAGGCAGCAGUGGGGAAUAUUGUACAAUUGGCGCAAGCCUGAGACAGCCAUGCCGCGUGUAUGAAGAAGGCCUUCGGUUUGUAAAGUACUUUCAGCGGGGAGGCGUUACCCGCAGAAGAAGCACCGGCUAACUCCGUGCCAGCAGCCGCGGUAAUUC